rnacentral:rRNA from 1 species
CCUACGGGGGGCUGCAGUGGGGAAUAUUGGACAAUGGGGGCAACCCUGAUCCAGCCAUGCCGCGUGUGUGAAGAAGGCCCUCGGGUUGUAAAGCACUUUCAGUGAGGAAGAACGCCUGGUGGUUAAUACCCAUCAGGAAAGACAUCACUCACAGAAGAAGCACCGGCUAACUCCGUGCCAGCAGCCGCGGUAAUACGGAGGGUGCGAGCGUUAAUCGGAUUUACUGGGCGUAAAGCGCGCGUAGGUGGCUUGAUAAGCCGGUUGUGAAAGCCCCGGGCUCAACCUGGGAACGGCAUCCGGAACUGUCAAGCUAGAGUGCAGGAGAGGAAGGUAGAAUUCCCGGUGUAGCGGUGAAAUGCGUAGAGAUCGGGAGGAAUACCAGUGGCGAAGGCGGCCUUCUGGACUGACACUGACACUGAGGUGCGAAAGCGUGGGUAGCAAACAGGAUUAGAUACCCCUGUAGUC